rnacentral:lncRNA from 1 species
CUCCAGCCUGGGUGACAGAGUGAGACCCAGUCUUUAAAAAGAAAAGCAAGGAAAAAUGCGUCUCUUCUAUAUAUCUUAACUGGGUAAAUGGAAAAUAGAGUUGGAAGCAUUUCCUCCUCUGCACUGCCACAGCCUCUCUGAAAUUUGAAAUUGCAGGACUGGGAAGAAUUUUGUGUCUGACCCUCUACUUCCCUAUGGGCAAGGACUAAAUCAUUCAUCCUUAUGUCCUCAUCACCUAGACCAUCCCUGGCACAGUGUAUUUAAAGCAUGUUUGCUGAAGGAUGGGAUGAAGGGAUAAAUAAAGUGUAAAAAACAAAGACUGAGAGGAGAUCUGAGUUUAAGCACUACUGGUCAAAAGCUAGCUGGAUGCAUCUGGCAGGUGUUGACAGUCAUACAAAGAAGUGGAUUAACUAGACUCAGGCAUUCAUUGAUUUCCCCCAACAAUCCUUUAUUCUGUAUCCUCUAUGUGCUAGGCACUGUGCUCAUGGCUUGGAGUUUAGCAAUGACCAAGUUCCUGCCCUCUUGAUGGUCCCACUAAGGUUUCAUUUUGUUCCAGUUCUGCUGAAGAUUAGGUUAUUCUCAUACCAAUUAUUUGAAUGGAAUUUGUCCAGUAGUGGAUUUCAAAAUAACUCAAUGCAAAUGCCAGUCAACGUUAGAAAUCCAAACAGACAAAAAAUUUGUUUGGUAAAAAAAAAAAACCAACCACCUGCAUGCCAAAACUUGAAAAAAUUCUGAGCUAUGUAAGGCAAAACACUAGCUUUCAGAAAAAAUGAGAGAGACUGCAGACCGUAUGUUUCAUAUUUACAAUGUUUUCAUUGAGGCAAUGAAUACAAACUAUUCUAUAAGAGCUAUUUAUUUGCUCUUAUUUAUGACAAGCUUAGCUUAAAAAAAGAUACACAAAUAAAUCGUUAGCCGCACUGUCUCAUGCAACUCAUUUCAAUGCAUUCAGCAACAGUCAACCUCUGAAUAAAUCACUGAGAGCUCAAUUUUCAACCUUGAUGUUAUCUUUAGCAUAUUAAAAUAUAUUGUACCUCAGACCAAUAUAAUAAAACAGUAAUGGCAGAAGCUUUUAGUGUAACAUAUUAUAAUGAGAAAAUAAGGAAAAAUAGCCAUUUUCCUUAUUAUAUUACAGACUAGAAUCCUAUUAAAAUAAAUGUCAUCAUUAUACUUGAUUACAUAGGUCAAAAUGUGUCUUCCAAAACCCAGCAAAAGCCCAAGGAUAUAGCUGCUGGUCCAGUAUUUUCCAACAAGUGUCAUGGGGGCAAAGGUGGGAGGCUCCUUAUCUUAGAAAAGGCUAUGAAGUACUUGAGCACCAUUUCAAAAGCAUAACUUAUUAUUCUUUAAUGAUUGCCUUGACUGCACUCACCCAGGAGCGUAGCUGCUGGGAAGGCUAAGCAAAGAGAAGCUUUCUUGACAGCUUCUUAUGGCUAAAGCUGGUAUUUUCCUUUCAAAAAUAAAUGCAAUCAAGAAAUGAAUUAUCUGAUAAGAGAAAAAGUAAGCAAAAGAUUUAAGUGUCUCUUCAACCUGCUAUGUACAAAUGUGGAUUAUGUCACAGCUCUGCUUUCUCCGCCCAAGGUUUAGAGCAGGCAGUGACAUCUUCUUUCUGAUGCAACUGAAAUGAUCUUAAGAUAGAGGCUGCAUUUCAGCAAAAGUACCAGACCUCGAAAGAAGACAGGGCAUACCUAGCAUCAUUUGGAAACAAUGAAAGAAACACCAUUUUCUAACAGCAAGGACGCAACCACUAUUCUUUUUAAGUUUCUGGAGAAGAAUGAUCUUGACAAACCUACAUAAAAGGUGGAUACACACACAGACACACUCACAUCCAAAAGCACACAUCACAGAGUCACAGAUCAGGCUUUGCUGAGACGGAAGCAGGAUGAACUUUGUCAUGAGAAAGCAAUGGAGCAGAGGGAAGAGCUGAAACACCCCCUGUUGGAAGCACUGACAGCACACAACUGAACAGCGCUGUGGCUGCAGAGGUGACAUGGGGGAGAGCAUGGCAGAAGCAUGGCAGUGGCUACUCAUGCGGGACUACAAAGCCAUAAGCAAUGCUAUGAAGGCAUCUGGGGGUCCUAGUGUCACUACGAAUGGAAAUAAAUAAUAAAAGGUGGGAGAGUAUUAGUUGGAAAAACAACAUUUUGGAGGUUUAGUCAGCAUUAGAAAAAGGUCAAAGUUUCACUGCUUCUGUAUGAAAGUGAAGUGAGAACAAGAGAAAUAGCUAAGACCUAUGUGACAAAUAGGAAUUGAUUGGUUGAUUUUUUUCAGGGUUGGGGAGAAAGGGACGGGACGCAGGUUUGGUUGGAGCUUUGACCUUU